GUAUUGGCAGAUCUCAUUUCUAGUGAUGAUAUUUGACCCCAUUCCCUCAGUCAUGGUCCAUGGAAUGCCAUUUUUAUUUCCACCAAAACACGAUGGUACAUGCGUCCAUGAAGCAAUGUAAUUUUCGUGGUGAAGUUUGUUUCAUAGAAACUAAACAAUAAGUCGACUAUAUUGUGUGUAGGACUACAUGUAUUUCCUGUAUUGUUUAUCUAACCUUGGCCUCUUAUUCUUGUAAAUGUUGUUGUAAAGCUUUAUAUGUUAAGGAAUGGUUAUUAAAGGAGACUGACAUAUUAGUGAAAGAUGAAAUAUGGUCACUUUACAUGGUUUUAAAACCACUAUAACGACCAGGUUGUGCCAUUAAUCAAUUGUUAACAAACUUACUCAUUCACACUUCUUUAUUGGUAAUAAUACGACUAACUGUUGUUCAUAUUGGUGUGACUGAAACCCAACAACAUAACUAAGACAUUUAGCAUUCAGAUUUCCAGUUAAUAACUAGUUCUCAUCGGUGUAUGUUCCAAAAGCGAGCUAAUUGAUUGUCUAUAUUGGAGUUUUUUGGUGGGUACGUUUCACAGACCCCACAAAUAUUCACUCUGUUAUAGUUUUUGUUGAGCCUGCAACUUUUGUUGCAGAAAGCUCGACAUAGGGAUAGUGAUCCGGUGGUGGCGUUAGCUAACUGUUUAAAUUUGUGAAGGUGGAAGACCUGGAUGCUUCAUACUUUGUAUAUAGAUGCCUCAUGUUACAAAGUUUCUGUCAG
rnacentral:lncRNA from 1 species